GGUUGGCAUAUCUACCGUCCAACUCCCAGACAUGAACUGUGAUUCCACACUGACUAUAGACACACAGAGGAAGUUGAUUUAUAGUUGUGUAAAUGAGAACAAUUCAAUCGGGUAUGGAGAAAAUAUUGUACGCAAUAUUACUCAAUCUAGUAAUUUGAUUGAGCUGGAAACAAGCAAUGCACCCAUAAAAAGCACUUACUGUCUACUCAUCUACAGUAAAGGAGGCGGAGGUUCGUUGACUCUUCAGUGUUAUUCGCCAGACGGUAGGUCGAUGACGAGCUCAACCCAAUCAGACGACAAAACCACCUCAUAGAUCCACAACACCAGGUUCAACACGAAGAGAAUCAACCAAGUCAGAGAAAGCACAUGUGACAGUUGCACCGCCAACAGAGCCAACCAAGUCCACGAUAGCAGAUACUCGUACGACAGUUUGUGAAGAGAAAACGAACAGACAAUCAGGCGCAGAAGAUUUUCCAGUUGCGGCUGCUGUAGGUGGUGCCGUUGGUGCAGUUCUGAUAGUCGCCGUAGUGGUUGUUGCGAUUAUCAUUUAUAUAAGGAAGAAACGAACAAAAGGCAAACAAAACGCCGGUGAUGAUGACGAUGGUGAUUACGUCAUUAGGGAUGUUAACCCUAACAACGCUGAUACGAAUCGUAGCCCUUCCGUCGCUAAUAACAAUGUUAAUCGUCAUAAUAAUGUGAACAUUGUUGGUAACACUUACGAACAUCUACAGCACAAUACUGUACAGUAUGUUAACACGCCGUCGAGUGUUGAUGAAGACCACGUGUACCUCCACGUCAAUGAUCCAACACAGUCACAGAUCUCAGAUCAAGAUUAUUAUAACACUGCCAACCUGAUUGGAUGAAACAGUUUAGAUUCAUACUAGUUUAUGUUCGACUUCGUUUGUGAAGGGCGGGACGUAGCUCAGUGAUAAAACUCGAUCGGUCUAAGAUCGAUCCCUGUCGUCAGACUCACUGAGCUAUUUCUCGUUGUAACAAAAGCCGUGGUAUGUACUAUCCUGUCUGGGAUCAUGUAUAUGAAAGGUCCUGUC